rnacentral:tRNA from 1 species
GGGGCUGUAGUUCAGUGGAAGAACGCUACCCUUGCAAGGUAGAUGUCGGGGUUUCGACUACCCCCAGCUCCACCA